UGGAUUGAAACAGACUUUUCUUGCUUUUAUUGGGAUGUUUGUGUGGUAAACCACCUUGGGGUGUUGAAUGGUUACAUUAAAAGGCCUUAAAGAAGUCAAUAACCCAAAGGUGGGGAAGUGCUAGAGGUAUGACAGAAGGUUACCUUCUUUCAGGUAAAGUUGUGUGGAAAUGGGCAGAUCAACCCUUUUUCUUACACCCAGGAUUGUCAAGUGUGGCACUCCUUGAAUAUUGAAAUUUAAAAGAAAUAAACUACUUCAAGGACCACAGAGGGAAGCUGAAGAAAAUCUUCACUGGUGCAACUCAGAGGAAAUACUCUCAAGGCUGUGAAAUCUGCUUCUGCCUUGAAGUGGGUCGGGUGAAGAUCCCAGUUAGAGGGUGUAGGGAUCAGAUGGGAUUACCAUGAGGAAUUAUAAAAUAUACAUCAAGCCAUCGUGUCCACGAUGAAAGCAUUGUGUUGACUGGGUUUGAGAUAUUGACGAUAAUUUCUGAUUAAAUCCCAUAAGAUUCUACAUUCAUGCCCCUUUCAUGCCCUUUUGACUCUACUGCCCAUUUCUCUCUCCUCACGUCACGUACACAGCAGUUGCUUCGCCAGGCAGGCAUCCUGGGCCAUAAAGAUAGUGGGCAAGUUACUUUGGUGUAGUUUUCUUAUAUAUUUAUCUUAAGAUAUUAAUCUUGGAGCCAGGAAACAGAUCUCACAUGAAGGGGAUAGUGAUCUGGUCUUUCUGGCCAUCCUUCUUAUCAUGUUUAUUUCUUACCUCUGGGGUUGCCAGAUGCUCCCCUUUGUAGUUCUCAACUUAUUUACCCCAAAAUAUAUGCAUGCUAAUUAGUGUUGUAGUGUAACUUUUUCCCCACGUGGGGUUUGAUGAAAUGCUCAGAGGAAAUAUGAUUGGUUCUUAUGAGCACUGUGUAAAAGAUUCUUUUGCUAAUAAAAUGGCCUGGUGAGGGGUGUGGUUUACGCACUUUUCUCCGAGAGCCUCGUGUCUUGUUUUUUAAUCAGGGUCCAGUCCUUCCUUUGGCCACAGAACGCAACAAGAGGGCUGAUCCUUAAGAUCACAAAAGAGCAGGAUUAUUUACAGAGAAAUUGACAAACUACUCUCCCUGAGGA